GGUACACGCCGCGUGAGGGAUGAAGGCCUCUGGGCUGUAAACCUCUUUUCUCAAGGAAGAAGAACUGACGGUACUUGAUGGAAUAAGCCACGGCUAAUUCCGUGCCAGCAGCCGCGGUAAUACGGGAGUGGCAAGCGUUAUCCGGAAUUAUUGGGCGUAAAGCGUCCGCAGGCGGCCCCGUAAGUCUGUCGUUAAAGCGUGGAGCUUAACUCCAUUUCAGCGAUGGAAACUGUGAGGCUUGAGUGUGGUAGGGGCAGAGGGAAUUCCCGGUGUAGCGGUGAAAUGCGUAGAUAUCGGGAAGAACACCAGUGGCGAAGGCGCUCUGCUGGGCCAUAACUGACGCUCAUGGACGAAAGCCAGGGGAGCGAAAGGGAUUAGAUACCCCUGUAGUCCUGGCCGUAAACGAUGAACACUAGGUGUCGGGGGAAUCGACCCCCUCGGUGUCGUAGCCAACGCGUUAAGUGUUCCGCCUGGGGAGUACGCACGCAAGUGUGAAACUCACAGGACUUGACGGGGGCCCGCACAAGCG
rnacentral:rRNA from 1 species